rnacentral:rRNA from 1 species
GGGGGGGCUGCUAUAAUGCGAGUCGUACGCUUCUUUUUCCACCGGAGCUUGCUCCACCGGAAAAAGAAGAGUGGCGAACGGGUGAGUAACACGUGGGUAACCUGCCCAUCAGAAGGGGAUAACACUUGGAAACAGGUGCUAAUACCGUAUAACAAUCGAAACCGCAUGGUUUUGAUUUGAAAGGCGCUUUCGGGUGUCGCUGAUGGAUGGACCCGCGGUGCAUUAGCUAGUUGGUGAGGUAACGGCUCACCAAGGCCACGAUGCAUAGCCGACCUGAGAGGGUGAUCGGCCACAUUGGGACUGAGACACGGCCCAAACUCCUACGGGAGGCAGCAGUAGGGAAUCUUCGGCAAUGGACGAAAGUCUGACCGAGCAACGCCGCGUGAGUGAAGAAGGUUUUCGGAUCGUAAAACUCUGUUGUUAGAGAAGAACAAGGAUGAGAGUAACUGUUCAUCCCUUGACGGUAUCUAACCAGAAAGCCACGGCUAACUACGUGCCAGCAGCCGCGGUAAUACGUAGGUGGCAAGCGUUGUCCGGAUUUAUUGGGCGUAAAGCGAGCGCAGGCGGUUUCUUAAGUCUGAUGUGAAAGCCCCCGGCUCAACCGGGGAGGGUCAUUGGAAACUGGGAGACUUGAGUGCAGAAGAGGAGAGUGGAAUUCCAUGUGUAGCGGUGAAAUGCGUAGAUAUAUGGAGGAACACCAGUGGCGAAGGCGGCUCUCUGGUCUGUAACUGACGCUGAGGCUCGAAAGCGUGGGGAGCAAACAGGAUUAGAUACCCUGGUAGUCCACGCCGUAAACGAUGAGUGCUAAGUGUUGGAGGGUUUCCGCCCUUCAGUGCUGCAGCUAACGCAUUAAGCACUCCGCCUGGGGAGUACGACCGCAAGGUUGAAACUCAAAGGAAUUGACGGGGGCCCGCACAAGCGGUGGAGCAUGUGGUUUAAUUCGAAGCAACGCGAAGAACCCUUACCAGGUCUUGACAUCCUUUGACCACUCUAGAAAAUAGGAGCCU